rnacentral:rRNA from 1 species
UACGUAGGUGACAAGCGUUGUCCGGAUUGACUGGGCGUAAAGCGCACGCAGGCGGAUGCGCGCGUGGGGUGUGAAAUCUGGCCGCUUAACGGCCAGGCGCCAUCCCAUACGGCGCGUCUGGAGUGAUGCAGAGGUCGAUGGAAUUGCCGGUGUAGUGGUGAAAUGCGUAGAGAUCGGCAGGAACACCCAGGGGGAAACCAGUCGACUGGGCAUCUACUGACGCUGAGGUGCGAGAGCGUGGGGAGCGAACAGG